CAUAUACCCUCUGUAUCUAAAGAUAAAAGCUGAAAUUAUUUUUUAAAGAAUAAAAUAUUCUCUCUCUCGCUCUCUCUCUUUUUUUUUUUUUUUUGGCUUUCAAUAACAAGCCUUUAUUCUCAGACUCAUAGGUUUGCAGGUGUAUUGUGCUUCAGCUGAUGGAGGUUGAAUGUGGCCAGUUAGCCCUGCUUCAUGCUUCAGCCAUGCUGUAGGCAUGGCUCCAGGCUGGAGACUAGGUCCGGUGUGUUCCAUAUGUAUUUAUGUGUGCGGAAGCUGAAGGUGCAGUAGCCACCAGGCCAU
rnacentral:lncRNA from 10 species